rnacentral:rRNA from 1 species
ACGUACACUCCUACGGGAGGCAGCAGUGGGGAAUAUUGGACAAUGGGCGCAAGCCUGAUCCAGCCAUGCCGCGUGAGUGAUGAAGGCCCUAGGGUUGUAAAGCUCUUUCACCGGUGAAGAUAAUGACGGUAACCGGAGAAGAAGCCCCGGCUAACUUCGUGCCAGCAGCCGCGGUAAUACGAAGGGGGCUAGCGUUGUUCGGAUUUACUGGGCGUAAAGCGCACGUAGGCGGACUAUUAAGUCAGGGGUGAAAUCCCGGGGCUCAACCCCGGAACUGCCUUUGAUACUGGUAGUCUUGAGUUCGAGAGAGGGGAGUGGAAUUCCGAGUGUAGAGGUGAAAUUCGUAGAUAUUCGGAGGAACACCAGUGGCGAAGGCGGCUCACUGGCUCGAUACUGACGCUGAGGUGCGAAAGCGUGGGGAGCAAACAGGAUUAGAAACCCUUGUAGUCCCAUGA